UCUUCGGAGUACGGACGCAAAGCCGGAAGACAAUGGCGGCGGCCGUUCUGAAGAGAUUUUGGCCCCGAAGCCGCGGAGAGACUGGUGACGCUGCGGCCGCAAAGCCCGGCGUGUGGGCACGGUUGGGCGCCUGGGCCCGCGCGCUGCUCCGGGACUACGCUGAGGCCUGCGGGGACGCGGCGGCGGCGGCGAGGGCCCGACCCGUGCGGGCGGCCGUGUACGUGGGGCUGCUGGGUGGCGCGGCGGCCUGCUGCGCCCUCGCGCCGAGCGAGGCGGCCUUUGAGGAGGCGCUGCUCGACGCGUCGGGGACCCUCCUGCUGCUGGCGCCCGCCACGCGCAACCGCGACUCGGAGGCGUUCGUGCAACGGCUGCUCUGGCUGCGGGGUCGCGGCUGCCUGCGUCACGUGAGCCUGGGCCUCUGCUCGCUGGUGUACGAGGCGCCCUUCGACGCCCAGGCCAGCCUCUACCAGGCCCGCUGCCGCUACCUGCAGCCCCGCUGGGUCGACUUCCCGGACCGGAUCUUGGAUGUGGGCUUCGUGGGCCGCUGGUGGGUGCUGGGGGCCCGGAUGCGCGACUGCGACGUCAACGACGACGAGUUUCUGCACCUGCCGGCACGUCUGCGCGUCGUCGGGCCCCACCAGCUGCACUCGGAGGCCAACGAGCGGCUCUUCGACGAGAAGUUCAAGCCCGUGGUGCUCACCGACGAUCAGGUGGACCAGGCGCUGUGGGAGGAGCAGGUCUUGCAGAAGGAGAAGAAGGACCAGCUCGCCCUGAGCCAGGCCGACCCGCUGGUGCCGUCGGAAGUCGCGAGAUGAAACCCAGACCAGCCUGGGUCCCGAUCGGGCUCUGAGCCCGGGCAGACUGUUGGCCCAGGAUUGUGCAGUUGACCAGUCCAGGAGUUGGCCUCUAGAUGUCCUCAGGGGCUGCAGGAGCCGGGCCGGGCGAGGUGCCUACUGUCCUCAGUAGGUGAGGGGCGCAGGUGAGACACGGGCAGAGGUGCUCCGCUCUGCCUCACCCAGGCCAGCCCCUCUGGCUGUGUGUCCCUGGCCCUGUCUUCUGGGACCCCACAAGUGUGCUGGGUGCCCCCGAGAGGAGGCCCGCCCAUGACCAUGGGGCAAGGCAGGUCUCCCACCCGCCAGAGCCCCAUGGACCCCUGCGAAGAGCUCGGGCACCACGUGGCCACCACACACACCAGGCGAGCCUGGAGUUUAGAAAAUCACUGCCUACUGACCCUGCAAGGGACCCCCUUCUUUAAGCAUCACAAAAUGGGGACACCCCAGCUAGGAGCGUUGGCCCCAGGCCGUUUUCCUUUCUUACCUGUUCCCUUGUUUCCAUACCUCUUUUGAGUCUUUUCCUGUGAUCAGCUUCUGCUUCCUGGAGCUCUGGCCCCCGCCUGCCCACCUCCUCACCUGCCUUAUGUUUUCCAAACUUCUGGCAUUGGGGCCUCGUGGGUUUCCCUUUAUUUCCCCUUUAUGUAGAUCUUUUCCUUGGAGCAGAGCCCCAUCCUGCCAGGGCAGGGGUUCUUUCUGUCUGCCUGUCACCCUGUGCCUGGAGCAGCACCUGGCAUGCAGUAGGCGCUCAGUGAAUACUUGUCAAAUGCACCAGCAUGCCAGGUGGGGGGUGGCUGGAGCUGCUUGUCGACUGCCACUUGGCAGUCCCGGCACACUGCUGUGCCCUCCACUGUGGCAAGGCCUGUUCUCGUUGGGGCACUGGUACCCUCAGCCCACGGCACUUCCAGUUCUCGCCUUAUCCCUACCCAGC